AGUUUCCACUUGGAAGAAAGAUUCACAUCAAAUUGACUGGUCAAGGAAAUGGGACACUGACUGUCCUUAUGGGAACAGGAAAAAUGACAAGCUGGAAAAUUUUGCAAGUAAUCUUUGGGCCAGCCUGGAAUCUUCCCAUCCUCUGGCCAUGACCUUGUGACCCUGCUUGGAGGUUGUACUUACAGUUUCAGAAGUGAUCAAUUCCAGUGAGGAUGUCUGUACUAAGGUGAAAGCUCACGCACAGUUCUUCACGACGGGAAAAAUGGCUCCAUUCAGACUCUGGAGAUUCAGGACACAAUCAUCGCCUUGGAAGCUUCAUCACGAUACUACUUUGCAUUUCUGAAGAGGGAAGAAGAAAUCAAUAUGAAAAUUCAAUUCCAUGGUUUUGGAAGUCCCAUUGAGAACACGAUUCAUUUGCGCCGGCAUAAUGCUCUGACCGAGAAAGAAUUGAAGUUUCCACUUGGAAGAAAGAUUCACAUCAAAUUGACUGGUCAAGGAAAUGGGAC